rnacentral:rRNA from 1 species
CGAAUCACAAAACUCGGUCUCAGUUCAGAUUGCAGGCUGCAACUCGCCUGCAUGAAGUUGGAAUUGCUAGUAAUCGCGAAUCAGAAUGUCGCGGUGAAUACGUUCCCGGGCCUUGUACACACCGCCCGUCACACCAUGAGAGUCGGGAACACCCGAAGUCCGUAGCCUAACCGCAAGGGGGGCGCGGCCGAAGGUGGGUUCGAUAAUUGGGGUGAAGUCGUAACAAGGUACC